GAAAGCGUACAAAGACGUGAUAUUAAAGUGCUAGUAAAACGAAGGAAUAUGAAAGAACUCAAGACUCCACUUUCUGAAAGAAAUGAGAAUCAGGGAAGACCUUAUUAAGAUAUUUAUAAAAUACUUCACGAAUACGACGACAUAUAUUGAAUAGGCAUGCAUAACAAGGAGACGGCGAAGAGAACGGAAAUUUUCAGAAUGCCUGUAUUGAUGACAUAAAUUAUGAAGUCUUUUUGCAUCUUUUUUAUUUUUUCAGUCUUUCGACUUUCAAGAGAGAUUAGGACCUCAAAUUCUAGAUGGUUAGCAGCAGAAGCGUUAACACAUUUCUUCAUGUUUACAACAAACAAAUUAAAGGAGGAUGACUUCGAUAUUCUUUUUCAUGAUCAUAUCAAGCGAUAUGUGGAGGAAAAGGAGGCUCAAUAUCAAUAAAUUGAAGUAAGUUCCAAUUGUGCCUAAUCAUUUGCAAAGAUUAUGUGAACCAGUGCCUGCAUAGAAUCCUCAGAAUUCACUGGCCAGAGAAAAUACGCAACACUGACCUGUGGCAGAGAACAAAACAGCAGCCUAUGGAGGAAGAAAUCCUGCGGAGACGAUGGGGUGUGCUAGGGCACACCCUAUGGAAGCCAGCAUCCAACGUCACGAGACAGUCGCUGACAUGGAACCCUCAGGGAAAGAGAAAGCGAGGAAGGCCGAGAAACACCUGGAGAUGGGACCUCGCCGCCGACACCAAGCUCACCGGACUCGGAUGGGGGCAACUGGUGACAGUAGCCCAGGACAGGAGGCGUUGGAGGACUGUCGUUGAUAGCCUAUGCACCAGGAGGGGCGAAGGGCCUAACUAACUGACUAAAGAUGUCAGACACUACACUUACUGGGGUCCCUGGGAUCCCAUUGACGAAAAUUGAAGGGGUCCUCCGAACUUUUAAUGCGUACUGUACGCAAUAUUUUGCGUAAGCAGAAACCCUGGUUUGUUUGUGGCAGUUGUUUGAUGUUCGCGCCACUUAGCCAAGUUGGAUAAGGCAUUAUAUAUGGGACGAUGGGGGGAAUUUUUUUCUUUAUCAUUUUAUAAUUUAAAAAAAGUUUAUAGCUAGAGCGAGAAAAUGAUUUUUUUUAAAAAACAGACAAAAGGGAGUGAGUGACGGAAGUUUUCAGAAUGCCUGUAUGGAUGACAUAAAUUAUUAAGUCUUUUUGCAUCUUUUUUUUUCAGCAUAUCGAAUUAGUACAGAAUUCAGGACCACCAGUAGCAGAGUGUUUGCGUAUGAAUCACUUAAUAGUUAUUUUAAAUACAUGACAAGUGAGCUGUCGGACCAGGACUUCAUGUCCCUUUACUUCGAACUGCAUGACCACAUUAGAAGAUUUGUGGAGAGCAGAACGCCUCCUCAAGUACUUUUGAUCCAGUGCGAGCAAAGGCAAAACGAGAAGCGUGAGUACGCUGUCAUGCCACAUUUUAGUCCUGGUCAUCUUCAGCACAGUCCGAAAAAAAGUCUUGCACUGACAAGAGUUUUUGAUAAUGCAACUUGUGCAUCUUCCAGCUCCCCUACAUUUCAUCACAACUAAGGACUGCAAUACAAGAACCUAAAAAGGCUCGUUUGGUGCCUAGCUCACGUGGUUCUCCUGAGCCCAGCAUGUGGCAUGAUUAUGCAGAAAAGGAUUGUUUUUCUUCCCACAGUGCCUCUGUUACUGGCAUAAUUCUUAAGGUUUUCUUUUUUGUUGAUAAAUAUGUUGGAACUCAA